UCCGUAACUGAAGUCGAGAUUCCUACGGGAGGCAGCAGCAGGGAAUAUUGCACAAUGGGCGCAAGCCUGAUGCAGCGACGCCGCGUGAGGGAUGAAGGCCUUCGGGUUGUAAACCUCUUUCAGGAGGGACGAAGCGCAAGUGACGGUACCUCCAGAAGAAGCCCCGGCCAACUACGUGCCAGCAGCCGCGGUAAUACGUAGGGGGCGAGCGUUGUCCGGAUUCAUUGGGCGUAAAGAGCUCGUAGGCGGCUCAGUAAGUCGGCCGUGAAAGCCCAGGGCUCAACCCUGGGAGGCCGGUCGAUACUGCUGUGGCUAGGGUCCGGUAGAGGAGAGUGGAAUUCCCGGUGUAGCGGUGAAAUGCGCAGAUAUCGGGAGGAACACCAGUAGCGAAGGCGGCUCUCUGGGCCGGUACCGACGCUGAGGAGCGAAAGCUAGGGGAGCAAACAGGAUUAGAUACCCUGGUAGUCCUAGCCGUAAACGUUGGGCACUAGGUGUGGCGGAUUCAUUGACGUCUGCCGUGCCGGCGCUAACGCAUUAAGUGCCCCGCCUGGGGAGUACGGUCGCAAGGCUAAAACUCAAAGGAAUUGACGG
rnacentral:rRNA from 1 species